CGAUCCAACGCGAAAAACCUUACCUACCCUUGACAUGUCAGAGAUCCCGAAGAGAUUUGGGAGUGCUCGAAAGAGAGCCAGAACACAGGUGCUGCAUGGCUGUCGUCAGCUCGUGUCGUGAGAUGUUCGGUUAAGUCCGGCAACGAGCGCAACCCACAUCCUUAGUUGCCAGCAGUUCGGCUGGGCACUCUAGGGAAACUGCCCGUGAUAAGCGGGAGGAAGGUGUGGAUGACGUCAAGUCCUCAUGGCCCUUACGGGCUGGGCUACACACGUGCUACAAUGGCAUCUACAAUGGGUUAAUCCCCAAAAGAUGUCUCAGUUCGGAUUGGGGUCUG
rnacentral:rRNA from 14 species